CAAACCAGGAUCCAUAAAAUUCGCACGACAUUAGAAACUAGAAACCUAACCUAACCUUCACUGAACCUCGCAUUAGUGACCAAUUCCUAUGUAUUACUACUACCGUAAAGAUUCAUUUCACGGCGUUUCGCCAGAAUUCAUAUCGAGCUCUCUCGGGCCGCGCAUACCGUGCCAAUUAUUCUCCGCACGGAAGUUCCACGGCUUGGCGUGAGAGAUUGAUGCGAGAGUCGAUGCACUCCACGCUUAUGUUUUAUUCAUACCUUUCACCAGGUUUGCACAAAACUUCCACAGAAUGAAAAUAAAUGGCGCACGUGGGAAACAGAGAAUGUAAAAUGCAUCCUAUGCAAUUUAUGCAAGACGUAAUUAGGUGAUUGUAGGACUUUGUCAUUAUUUACAAGCAUUAUUCACCAUGGAAUGGACGUUGAAACUGUAAUUUUCGCGACGAAGGCGUGUUCCGCGCCUCGAUUCCAUUCUCCGCGUGAAAAAACCCUUCUACAAGCUCUAUAUUUAUCAACACGUCGGAUACUUUCGACGUUGGAGUCCAAACCGACCCUCGACA